AUUUCCAUAGCGGAGGAAAAGAAACUAACAAGGAUUCCCCUAGUAACGGCGAGUGAAGCGGGAUGAGCUCAAAUUUAAAAUCUGGCGGCCUCAGGUCGUCCGAGUUGUAGUCUAGAGAAGCGUUUUCCGCGUUGGCCUGUGUACAAGUCCCUUGGAAUAGGGCGUCAUAGAGGGUGAGAAUCCCGUCCUUGACACAGAUCCCAAUGCUUUGUGAUACGCUCUCAAAGAGUCGAGUUGUUUGGGAAUGCAGCUCAAAAUGGGUGGUAAAUUCCAUCUAAAGCUAAAUAUUGGCGAGAGACCGAUAGCGAACAAGUACCGUGAGGGAAAGAUGAAAAGCACUUUGGAAAGAGAGUUAAACAGUACGUGAAAUUGUUGAAAGGGAAACGAUUGAAGUCAGUCAUGCUUCUCUGGAUUCAGCUUGUUCUACAAGUGUAUUUCCAGUUUUGCAGGCCAGCAUCAGUUUUGUUUGAUGGAAAAAGCUUGAGGAACGUGGCAACCCCGGUUGUGUUAUAGCCUCUUUGCGCAUACAUCAGAUGGGACUGAGGAACGCAGUGUGCCUUUAGGUCGGUUUCGGACACGUACGCACUUAGGAUGCGGCA
rnacentral:rRNA from 1 species